rnacentral:rRNA from 1 species
GGAGGGUGCAAGCGUUGUUCGGAAUCACUGGGCGUAAAGGGCGUGUAGGCGGUCCGCUAAGUCUGAUGUGAAAGCCCGGGGCUUACCCCCGGAAGGGCAUUGGAAACUGGCGGACUCGAGUCCCGGAGAGGAAGGUGGAAUUCCUGGUGUAGCGGUGAAAUGCGUAGAUAUCAGGAGGAAUACCGGUGGCGAAGGCGGCCUUCUGGACGGUGACUGACGCUGAGACGCGAAAGCGUGGGGAGCAAACAGGAUUAGAUACCCUGGUAGUCCACGCUGUAAACGAUGAGCACUAGGUGUCGUGGUAUUGACCCCCGCGGUGCCGACGCUAACGCAUUAAGUGCUCCGCCUGGGGACUACGGCCGCAAGGUUA